UUUUCUUCUUAAGUCUGACAGACGAUUUCUCCAGGAGAGUGCCUUCAAAAUGGGAGAAAAAUUGAAAAAAGAUAUACAUAAAAGGACCACAAAGAAGACUCCUAUAAUCCUUGAUAUGGAAGAUUCUGAGGAAGAUUCUGAAUAAAGUGUAACAAAUACUCAGGUUGUUGAUAGGGGCUUUUCUGAGCCACUUUUUUAUGAAGACACAGACAGGGGAAAGACAACAUUGAUGGAGAGUGAUUCAGAUACUGAUAUAGAAAAUGUAAGGGCAAGAAAAAUAUCAAAACCUUGCAUAGUAGAGCUUGAUGAGGAGACUGUUCAAGCGCUUAAAGAACUGCCAUCCUUCAUGAAAUCUAUGAAGCAAUAUCUACAGAAAUUGGAAACAUCUUUGCCAGGCUGUUGGUCAGAACAAACACCAGAUGAGAGCAUGGCUAGUUCUCCAACAGUAGACAUGGUAAUACUUAACAUUGUUUAGGCUACAUUUUCAAAACUUUAAUUACACAACUGACCUUGAAAUUUCUUUGUUGUAGGAAG